GCAUAUCAAUAAGCGGAGGAAAAGAAACCAACAGGGAUUGCCCCAGUAACGGCGAGUGAAGCGGCAACAGCUCAAAUUUGAAAUCUGGCCCCCCGGCCCGAGUUGUAAUUUGGAGAGGAUGCUUCUGGCGCGGCGCCGUCCGAGUUCCUUGGAACAGGACGCCACAGAGGGUGAGAGCCCCGUACGGACGGACGCCUAGCCUCUACGAAGCUCCUUCGACGAGUCGAGUAGUUUGGGAAUGCUGCUCAAAAUGGGAGGUAAAUUUCUUCUAAAGCUAAAUACCGGCCAGAGACCGAUAGCGCACAAGUAGAGUGAUCGAAAGAUGAAAAGCACUUUGAAAAGAGGGUUAAAAAGUACGUGAAAUUGUUGAAAGGGAAGCGCCUGUGACCAGACUUGCGCCUCGCGGACCACCCGGCGUUCUCGCCGGUGCACUCUGCGUGGCGCAGGCCAGCAUCGGUUCUCCCAGGGGGACAAAGGCCGCGGGAACGUAGCUCCUUUGGGAGUGUUAUAGCCCGCGGCGGCAUGCCCCUGGGGGGACCGAGGACCGCGCUUCGGCAAGGAUGCUGGCGUAAUGGUCACCAGCGACCCGUCUUGAAACACGGACCAAGGAGUCAAGCAUUGGGGCGAGUGUAUGGGUGCCAAACCCGCACGCGAAAUGAAAGUAAACGCAGGUGAGAGCUUCGGCGCAUCAUCGACCGAUCCUGAUGUCUUCGGAUGGAUUUGAGUAAGAGCCUUACCGCUUGGACCCGAAAGAUGGUGAACUAUGCCUGAAUAGGGUGAAGCCAGAGGAAACUCUGGUGGAGGCUCGCAGCGGUUCUGACGUGCAAAUCGAUCGUCAAAUUUGGGCAUGGGGGCGAAAGACUAAUCGAACCAUCUAGUAGCUGGGUACCGC
rnacentral:rRNA from 1 species